UGCGUAGGCGGAUCUUUAAGUCAGUGGUGAAAGCCUGCAGCUCAACUGUAGAACAGCCAUUGAAACUGAAGAUCUUGAAUAUGGUUAAAGUAGGCGGAAUGUAUCAUGUAGCGGUGAAAUGCUUAGAUAUGAUACAGAACACCGAUAGCGAAGGCAGCUUGCUGAACCAUUAUUGACGCUGAGGCACGAAAGCGUGGGGAGCGAACAGGAUUAGAUACCCUGGUAGUCCACGCCCUAAACGUUGAUUACUCGUUGUUGGCGAUAUACUGUCAGCGACCAAGCUAAAGCGUUAAGUAAUCCACCUGGGAAGUACGACCGCAAGGUUGAA
rnacentral:rRNA from 1 species